rnacentral:rRNA from 1 species
AGAGUUUGAUCCUGGCUCAGGACGAACGCUGGCGGCGUGCCUAAUACAUGCAAGUAGAACGCUGAAGAGAGGAGCUUGCUCUUCUUGGAUGGGUUGCGAACGGGUGAGUAACGCGUAGGUAACCUGCCUUGUAGCGGGGGAUAACUAUUGGAAACGAUAGCUAAUACCGCAUAACAAUGGAUGACCCAUGUCAUUUAUUUGAAAGGGGCAAAUGCUCCACUACAAGAUGGACCUGCGUUGUAUUAGCUAGUAGGUGAGGUAACGGCUCACCUAGGCGACGAUACAUAGCCGACCUGAGAGGGUGAUCGGCCACACUGGGACUGAGACACGGCCCAGACUCCUACGGGAGGCAGCAGUAGGGAAUCUUCGGCAAUGGGGGCAACCCUGACCGAGCAACGCCGCGUGAGUGAAGAAGGUUUUCGGAUCGUAAAGCUCUGUUGUAAGUCAAGAACGAGUGUGAGAGUGGAAAGUUCACACUGUGACGGUAGCUUACCAGAAAGGGACGGCUAACUACGUGCCAGCAGCCGCGGUAAUACGUAGGUCCCGAGCGUUGUCCGGAUUUAUUAGGCGUAAAGCGAGCGCAGGCGGUUUGAUAAGUCUGAAGUUAAAGGCUGUGGCUCAACCAUAGUUCGCUUUGGAAACUGUCAAACUUGAGUGCAGAAGGGGAGAGUGGAAUUCCAUGUGUAGCGGUGAAAUGCGUAGAUAUAUGGAGGAACACCGGUGGCGAAAGCGGCUCUCUGGUCUGUAACUGACGCUGAGGCUCGAAAGCGUGGGGAGCGAACAGGAUUAGAUACCCUGGUAGUCCACGCCGUAAACGAUGAGUGCUAGGUGUUGGAUCCUUUCCGGGAUUCAGUGCCGCAGCUAACGCAUUAAGCACUCCGCCUGGGGAGUACGACCGCAAGGUUGAAACUCAAAGGAAUUGACGGGGGCCCGCACAAGCGGUGGAGCAUGUGGUUUAAUUCGAAGCAACGCGAAGAACCUUACCAGGUCUUGACAUCCCGAUGCUAUUUCUAGAGAUAGAAAGUUACUUCGGUACAUCGGUGACAGGUGGUGCAUGGUUGUCGUCAGCUCGUGUCGUGAGAUGUUGGGUUAAGUCCCGCAACGAGCGCAACCCCUAUUGUUAGUUGCCAUCAUUCAGUUGGGCACUCUAGCGAGACUGCCGGUAAUAAACCGGAGGAAGGUGGGGAUGACGUCAAAUCAUCAUGCCCCUUAUGACCUGGGCUACACACGUGCUACAAUGGUUGGUACAACGAGUUGCGAGUCGGUGACGGCAAGCUAAUCUCUUAAAGCCAAUCUCAGUUCGGAUUGUAGGCUGCAACUCGCCUACAUGAAGUCGGAAUCGCUAGUAAUCGCGGAUCAGCACGCCGCGGUGAAUACGUUCCCGGGCCUUGUACACACCGCCCGUCACACCACGAGAGUUUGUAACACCCGAAGUCGGUGAGGUAACCUUUUGGAGCCAGCCGCCUAAGGUGGGAUAGAUGAUUGGGGUGAAGUCGUAACAAGGUA